rnacentral:rRNA from 1 species
UACGAAGGGAGCUAGCGUUGUUCGGAAUCACUGGGCGUAAAGGGCGCGUAGGCGGCAGAUCAAGUCAGCUGUGAAAUCUCCGAGCUUAACUCGGAACUGUCAGCUGAUACUGUUUUGCUAGAGUGCGGAAGGGGCAAUCGGAAUUCUUGGUGUAGCGGUGAAAUGCGUAGAUAUCAAGAGGAACACCUGAGGUGAAGACGGGUGCUGGGCCGACACUGACGCUGAGUGCGCGAAAGCCAGGGGAGCAAACGGG